rnacentral:piRNA from 1 species
UGAUCAAAGUCUCAAGUAUUGUGUUUCAGGA